rnacentral:lncRNA from 1 species
AAGCGUACUCUCACAGGUGCUUGUAAGCCACAGCAUAACAGGUAUGAACAAGCAAAUUACUUGAUUGUUUGUUUCUAUUGCUACUUGAUGACUGCUUCAAUGGAAGUGCCAUACAUAAAAUUUCCUGAAAACAAACAACAUCAACAAAAUGUUGUAUAAAAAGGAGAAUAAUUAACAACCAAAAACCAACUGAUUAUCUAAUAUAAUAAUCGAUGAAGUAUAUAUAGUCAAAUAUGAUUUACUUAUUUCUGGUUCUUACAAAAUGUGAUAGCAAGCCUUCUGGAUUUGAGCCUGUUGCACAGGGCUUGCCUAGUGCGGUUUACAUCCCCAUGUGGUUUGCAGGCUAUUGCAUCGGGGGUUUACCCAGUGCGCACACAGUGCUCACCACAGAGUGCUCACCCGAAGGGCAGAGGCUAUGGCAGAGGGUGUAGCGGCUGCGGAUUUUCCUGGAAAAUUUCCCCAAAAAAAAAAUGUGAUAGCAACAAUCCAAACUAUGAAAGUAACUAAAAUAAUUAACACGUGAUGAAAAUUGAGUUAUCUGUAUUAUUUUUAAACACAAACUCAUAGAUAUAUCCCAGUUUUACUACUAUCAAAUCUACCAUAUUGAUAAUUAAAGUCAUAAUGACACGUCGCAACACUUAAAUAGUUGAACUGAAAACUGACUCCGUAAUAGUUGCAGACAUGAUUGCGGAAUGGGAUUCCAAUAACGUGAAGAUGAAAAGCAUCAUUGAUAGAAGUUCAAGAAUAUGGACCAGCUACCAAGUGCAACACUACUGCAGGGAAUGCAAUAGUUUGGCUAAAUUAGCCUCGGCUUCUCCCAACAAUUGCAUUAUUCCUUCCUUUUCUGACUUGUCCAAAGACUCGAAAGGGCAUUUUUCAACUUGAUAAGCGGCGAAUGCCUAGUAUAAGAAGUAAAUUUGACAAAGCUAACUUUCAUAUUAGUUAGCCUUUCUGUUCUGGGCGUUCUGUAUUGGGGUCAGGCCUAGCCAGUGACGGUGCCAGCACUUUUGCUAAGGGGUUCAUAAGUAAAUAUAAAAACUAAUCGAAGUGAGUUCACCAUCUAAUAUAUAUACAUAAAAAAUAAUUUUAACCAUAUAUAUAUAACACAAUUUUUUGCUGAAGGGGGUUCGGAUGAACCGCUGGCUAUAGUGUAGAUCCGUCA